ACAUUCACUUCCCGAUUUCAUCUUUCCCUUUCGUUUGGUUUGUUUUUGUGAGUCCGAAUUCCAUGUCCUAACUUUUCUCCAUUUUCUUUUCCCUCAGUUUCGGUUUUCUCUCAAAGUCAACGUCUCUCUCUCGCGUUCCUCCAUCACUGCAGUUUAGCGUUUCUCUCUUCAAACUCGUCUCUUCUCUCCCUCUUGCACAGUGUCGUCAUCUUCAAGUGGUGUUGCUGCAUUUUCUCCCUACUGGUGGUUUGGCUUUUAGACGCUCACCCACUCUCGCUUCUCUUUUGAUCUCUCCUGUCUGUGAAGUGGUUAAUCUCCUUGCCACAGUGUUGACGCCGAGCUCUGUCAAACGGGUGACGAGAUUUUUA